CCCUACGGGGGGCAGCAGUGAGGAAUAUUGGUCAAUGGGAGAGAUCCUGAACCAGCCAAGCCGCGUGAGGGAAGACGGCCCUAUGGGUUGUAAACCUCUUUUGUCGGAGAACAAAACCCGGGACGUGUCCCGGACUGCGUGUAUCCGAAGAAAAAGCAUCGGCUAACUCCGUGCCAGCAGCCGCGGUAAUACGGAGGAUGCGAGCGUUAUCCGGAUUUAUUGGGUUUAAAGGGUGCGUAGGCGGGAUGCCAAGUCAGCGGUAAAAAUGCGGUGCUCAACGCCGUCGAGCCGUUGAAACUGGCGUU
rnacentral:rRNA from 1 species